GACGAACGCUGGCGGCGUGCUUAACACAUGCAAGUCGAACGGAAAGGCCCUGCUUUUGUGGGGUUCUCGAUUGGCGAACGGGUGAGUAACACGUGAGUAACCUGCCCUUGACUUUGGUAUAACUUCAGGAAACUGGGGCUAAUACCGGAUAGCAUCUCCUGCUGCAUGGUGGGGGUUGGAAAGUUUCGGCGGUUGGGGAUGGACUCGCGGCUUAUCAGCUUGUUGGUGGGGUAGUGGCUUACCAAGGCUUUGACGGGUAGCCGGCCUGAGAGGGUGACCGGCCACAUUGGGACUGAGAUACGGCCCAGACUCCUACGGGAGGCAGCAGGGGGGAAUAUUGCACAAUGGGCGGAAGCCUGAUGCAGCAACGCCGCGUGCGGGAUGACGGCCUUCGGGUUGUAAACCGCUUUCGCCUGUGACGAAGCGUGAGUGACGGUAAUGGGUAAAGAAGCACCGGCUAACUACGUG
rnacentral:rRNA from 1 species